rnacentral:lncRNA from 1 species
GGAGGGUUCUUAAAGAUAAACGGCAAAAGCUCUUGUCUUUUGACCAAGACCAUGGGGUUCUUACAUCAACAAUGCAUGGGAAAGAAGAGUGGUUAAAGGCAUGUGUAGAGAUGGUAGUAAUGGAUGAGAUGCCGUUUAGUGUGGUUGAAGGAAAAGGGUUUAGGCGGUUUUGUAAUUCUUUGAACCCCAAUUUUCAAGUGCCAUCUCGUAGGACACUUGUGAGGCAUUUCAUGGCAAUGUAUGAUGCCAUGAAACAAAAAUUGAAAGAAGAAUUAGCACCACAUAGAGUAUGCCUCACAACGGACACUUGGACAAGUGUUCAAAACAUCAAUUACAUGGUCAUCACGGCACACUUCAUAGAUGGUGAUUGGAACUUGCACAAAAGAAUCUUGAACUUUUGUGUCAUUUCCAAUCACAAGGGGAACUCAAUUGGUAAACUCCUUGAGUCAUGUUUGCUUGAUUGGGAUAUGAAGAAGAUAUUAACCAUCACGGCCGAUAAUGCUUCUUCAAACACAAAGGCUAUAGAUUAUUUGAAGUCGAAAAUGGGCCAUUGGGGAAACGGUAGUCUUCUACUAGAGGGAAAGUAUAUGCACAUUAGGUGUUGUGCUCAUAUUGUGAAUUUAAUAGUUCGUGAUGGGUUGAAGAAGUUGGAAAAAAGCAUAUUGUGUAUAAGAAAUGCGGUGAAGUAUGUAAGAUCUUCUCCCAAAAGGUUAGAAGACUUUAAGAGUUGCGUUAAGAAAGAGCAAAUUGAAUGCAAAG